CACGUAGGCGGCUUUCUAAGUCAGGGGUGAAAUCCCGGAGCUCAACUCCGGAACUGCCUUUGAUACUGGAGAGCUUGAGUUCGGGAGAGGUGAGUGGAACUGCGAGUGUAGAGGUGAAAUUCGUAGAUAUUCGCAAGAACACCAGUGGCGAAGGCGGCUCACUGGCCCGAUACUGACGCUGAGGUGCGAAAGCGUGGGGAGCAAACA
rnacentral:rRNA from 1 species